rnacentral:rRNA from 1 species
AACGAACGCUGGCGGCAUGCCUAACACAUGCAAGUCGAACGAGACCUUCGGGUCUAGUGGCGCACGGGUGCGUAACGCGUGGGAACCUGCCCUUAGGUUCGGAAUAACUCCCCGAAAGGGGGGCUAAUCCCGGUUAAUUUCUUCGGACCAAAGAUUUAUCGCCUUUGGAUGGGCCCGCGUUGGAUUAGCUAGUUGGUAGGGUAAAAGCCUACCAAGGCGACGAUCCAUAGCUGGUCUGAGAGGAUGAUCAGCCACACUGGGACUGAGACACGGCCCAGACUCCUACGGGAGGCAGCAGUGGGGAAUAUUGGACAAUGGGCGAAAGCCUGAUCCAGCAAUGCCGCGUGAGUGAUGAAGGCCUUAGGGUUGUAAAGCUCUUUUACCCGGGAUGAUAAUGACAGUACCGGGAGAAUAAGCGCCGGCUAACUCCGUG